rnacentral:piRNA from 1 species
GAUACCCUAACUGCUCUUUCUUCACUUGGC